AUCUAGCUGACGAGUCCCAAAUAAGACAAAACGCGUAUUCUUGAU
rfam:Schistosoma haematobium scaffold421_9, whole genome shotgun sequence.